UUAAAUUUAAAAUAGUGUUCUUUAUAUUAUAUUUGUAUGUUUUAAAUGUGUACAAGUUAACAAGAAUACUGUAAAUUGUCGAAUAAUUUCUUGCAAUCUAAAACUAGCACGGUUGAUCGCAUCUGUCGCGAUUUAGAAAAUCAAUGGAAAUUAGAACGGAGGGUUUGAUUCGAAUUGCCUCGGAAUCACCAUCCCUUGUCGACUGAUUGUUGUCGGUAAUUUGCAAUAUUUGUUCCCCUGUGGGACACGAAAUUUCAUCUGGAUGCAACCACCUCUGGUCAUGUUGGAUAAAUGGGAUUCAAUUCAGGGUGAAUAUCUCUUUCCGAUCUUGUGGAGGGGAACGAUCACAGAUUAGAGGCAGAAUACGUUCAAUUAUUUUUUCCCGCUGCGUAUCGAGAUUACCUAAUGAAUAACAUAUAUAAUUGCUAUGCAAAUAAUACGUUUUGAUUCGUUUAAUGUCAUACGUAAUUAUUAUGCUCGAUAAUAAUCUAUAAAUAAUAAAUGUAACAUACAUAAUAUAAAUACAUUACUUACAUAAUAAAUAAUGAAUAACAAAAUAAUAAUUUAUUGAUAUAUAAAAAAAAAUUUGUUAUUUUUAUUAAUAAAAUCUGAUUUUUAUAACAAUUUUUGAAAAAAAAGUAAAUAUUAAUAACCAAAUGAAUUCAUAAAUAGUAAAUAAUGAGAAUAAAAUAAUUUUAUUUAAUAAUAUGAAAUUGCAAAAAAAUGUGGAACGCUUCACGAUUUUGCGUGUCAUCCUUGCGCAGGGGCCAUGCUAAUCUUCUCUGUAUCGUUCCAAUUUUAGUAUAUGUACUGCCGAAGCAAGUA